rnacentral:rRNA from 1 species
GCAUAUCAAUAAGCGGAGGAAAAGAAACCAACAGGGAUUGCCCUAGUAACGGCGAGUGAAGCGGCAACAGCUCAAAUUUGAAAUCUGGCUCUUUUAGAGUCCGAGUUGUAAUUUGCAGAGGGCGCUUUGGCGUUGGCAGCGGUCCAAGUUCUUUGGAACAGGACGUCACAGAGGGUGAGAAUCCCGUACGUGGUCGCUAGCCUUCGCCGUGUAAAGCCCCUUCGACGAGUCGAGUUGUUUGGGAAUGCAGCUCUAAAUGGGAGGUAAAUUUCUUCUAAAGCUAAAUACUGGCCAGAGACCGAUAGCGCACAAGUAGAGUGAUCGAAAGAUGAAAAGCACUUUGGAAAGAGAGUCAAAUAGCACGUGAAAUUGUUGAAAGGGAAGCGCUUGCAGCCAGACUUGCCUGUAGUUGCUUAUCCGGACUUUUGUCCGGUGCACUCUUCUGCGGGCAGGCCAGCAUCAGUUUUGGCGGUUGGAUAAAGGUCUCUGUCAUGUACCUCCUUUCGGGGAGGCCUUAUAGGGGAGACGACAUGCAACCAGCCGGAACUGAGGUCCGCGCAUCUGCUAGGAUGCUGGCGUAAUGGCUGUAAGCGGCCCGUCUUGAAACACGGACCAAGGAGUCUAACAUCUAUGCGAGUGUUUGGGUGUCAAGCCCAGACGCGUAAUGAAAGUGAACGGAGGUGGGAACCUUUUAGGUGCACCAUCGACCGAUCCUGAUGUCUUCGGAUGGAUUUGAGUAAGAGCAUGGCUGUUGGGACCCGAAAGAUGGUGAACUAUGCUUGAAUAGGGUGAAGCCAGAGGAAACUCUGGUGGAGGCUCGCAGCGGUUCUGACGUGCAAAUCGAUCGUCAAAUUUGGGCAUAGGGGCGAAAGACUAAUCGAA